UGAGAGCACCCACCUGUAGCCAUACAUUUUCCCCAACCUACUUUAAUAAGGGUUCAACCUCCCCUCUAGCCCACCUUCCGCCAGAGGUAGUGGAAGAGAAAAAUAGACCUCUUCAGAAAGAGUUCUCUGGGGUGAGUCCACUCUUUGUUGUCCAGACAGCAGCAGUUCAGUCUUGUAGCAAACACCAAAUACAGAUCAGCAGCUUCAGUCCAGGACUCUCAUCAGGAAGACACCACACACGAACUAGCAGCUGCAGGUCAAUCCUGAAGAAACCGCAAGGCUCAACAACUGGCCCGAGUCUGAGGAAGUAGCAAGAAGACACAGGACCCUCAGGACUGAGGCGAAUCAAUGUGUGCAUACUGUUAGCAAGGAAAACAUUCUCGUGUCUGCUUUAGUAAAAGAUCCUUUCACCUGUGUACCCCAGCAAACCAUCAUUUGACACAACUGACAUUCCAAAGAAACCAGAAGUUUCCACUCCACCCACGCCCUCACACACCAGGGACACACAUGUACCCUUGGAUCCAAGAGAUGCUGGAGACGAAGACGCUGCUCCCUGCUAGGGGAUCCUUGGGCUCGGGACUCCUUUGGCCUGGAUUACUUGUCUGUUCUUGGAAAAGCCUCUCAUCUCCUGGGCCUGAGGACCAGACUGCCUCUGCCUGAGUUGCAAUGGAGACCACAGUGAUCUGGGUCCCUGUUUAGGUAGUGGACUGUAGACUAAUUUUAAUUAUUUUAAUUAAAAUAUUUGCCAUUUUAAUUAAUAUAUGACAUCUAGAUUAUAAUUUAUUCUUCUCGAAUCUCUGAUUACAUUGAUAGCUACACUAACUGCAGCUUAACAGCUAGAGAACAGGCAACUAGCUCAUUACCCCAAGGUAAUCAAUCCAUCACUGUGUUAGCUCAUUAAUCAAUUUGUUAACUAGUUAAGGCUACCAGAUCUCUCAUCAGAAAGGCAGACAGGUUUGCCUUGCUCACAGGCUUCGUGAUGAAGGAGACACAUGUUCAGAUGUAAGCUUUCGCAGGUGUAACCUUCUGCUACUUCCUGAUCUAAAAGAGCUCAGUUUGUGGUGACUGCGCCCCAGUGAUCAACCACCUGUGUCUCAUGAUAAAUAAUUGGAUAAGAAAUAAACUUUAUGCACAGUCUGAGGAUACAAGCUUGAGGGUCUAAACGGGUGUUUUGAGGUCAGUAAUCAUAAGAUAUGAAGGUUGGAGGACAUACAAACUUGGAUGGUAAUAAAAAAAUAAUUUUAGGUACAAAAGUGCUUCAUAUUUCUUCCCCUUGCUAUGUUACUGUCUUAAUAUAUAAGACUCCAAGAGUUCAGAAUCCCAACGUUAACCCAUGGAGUUCUGAUACAUUAGCCUAACUCUGAGAAAACACUCCACUGCAUGAACCCUUCAUAAUCACAAGUUCAAAAUUUGAAGUUUCCUUUGGUUGUCUUUUAACUAUGGACUUGAGAUGUUUCUCAUGCUAAAUCUAUAUGAUCAACUAUCAUAUUCACAAGGUCAAAAAUUUGAGUUUCCUUUGAUCGGCUUUUAAAUGCAAACUUAAAAAUAUUUCUCAUUAUGCUAAAUUUGUGUGCAUUCGGUCUUCUAGAUAGAGAGAAAAAGCCCCUCUUGCCCCUUCUGCUCCACAAAAGAUUUUGUCUUCCCGAAGCUCAUCUUAAAGUCUGUUUUAUGCUGUUAACAAAUUUAUCUCUUUUGUAAACUUAAAAAGAUUCCUAUAAGCUCCAGGGAACCCACUGGGAUCUACCUCUCAUGGAACAAACAGACUCCAUCUAGAUAAGUAACCCUGCCAAUCAAUACCCUAAGUUCCAACUGCUGCCUAGUCCAGAGGUUAGGAUUCCUCCCGUUCCCUGGAUUUGGAACUACCCUUCCCCCAACCACCAAGACUUAAGGGUUUCAAAUAUACACCUAAAAUUUUUUUCUCCCAAACCUACUUAACUUUCUUUUUGAGUCUAAUAUGUAUACGUGUUUCAGUAUCUAUAUGUAUACGUGUUUCAGUAUCUAUAUGUAUAUGUGUUUCAGUAUCUAUAUGUAUACGUGUUUCAGUAUCUUGCCAAGUCCAGCGUUUACUCAAAACCUACAUCUAGGACAGCUCCAGAGAAGCAAUCCACAGCUACUCCAAUCUACCCUCAUAGAUGCUUCUACUGGGCCGGCACCUUCUGCCAGCAGGUGCUCCCACAGUCCCUGGACAGCAAUGAAACAGCCAGCUCUCCUAGGACUUGACCAACAUCUCCAUCCCAAUUUUCUUAGGUCCACAAAGACAAAACUGUCACCCCAAUGUCAGCAGAAGUAGCCAAUGAUCACGACAAUCCCAUUCCUGCCCCACCAUCACCUCUUUCUAGUUUCUUUCUUUUUUUUUAAUUAAACCAAAAAGUAGUAAUGGUAUAGCAUUUCCUCUAGGCUCCUCCCAAUGGGUACCUAGCAACAGCCAGGUACAAGCUUGGUUCAUGUAUAAAAGGUGUAGGACCCCGAAGGGCUGCCAUGCCCUGGCUGAGACUUUCCAUGUGCUGC